rnacentral:lncRNA from 1 species
CUGAAGUGACUGAACAUAAGAAGGAGAAAGAGAGAGGGGAAAGAAAAAAAGAGAGAAGAAAUAAGAGAAAAUCAACUCGACCACCAAGAUUUACUCACUGAUUCAUUGCUAAGUCCAAUUUCAUUCUCCCUUCUUCUUAUUCUUAGACCCAAUAGAUCCUCCUCCUAUUGAAGGUGUGACCUCCAAAUAUUGUACAUUACCUCCUCUGAAACUCAAUAAUCAACGAGAGUCAUCUUAGCAACAUUCAUUUGGGCAAGCUUCAAUUGAGAAAAGUUAAUUUCAGAGCACAUUUUCAUAUGUGAAUAUUAUGAAAUAAAUUACGUCAUUAUUAAACGUCAUCGUUCAUCACCCACCCACAGUGUUCAAAAUCAAAUGGGAGAAAUCUCGAAGGAACAACUGAGGCUCUUAUCGGAUUUCGUCUUAACUCCGUAAGCUUAUGUGGAGGGAUGAAUUUACAAAACAUAUUGAGUGGGAUGGCUUUCGAACACUUCGAUCGAUGGGUCCUCUAGGAGUAGGAUCUUUAUAAAAGGAUGUGCACUAUCCGAUCAUUUUCGUUGUCCAAUGUUAUAACAUUCUUUUUAGGAGAACGCUUCACCGGAGUUGGGAUGGGUUUUUAGGGUGCUCUUUCAUCACUCUGCUAGCUUCACUGAAUGCAGAAAUAUUCAUCAUUCUUAAAGGAAGAAAUAAACUAUUGACAGUUUUGAUUCUUGAAAUCUUGAUUAUUCAUGGAUGAUAGUUAAAUUAUUGUGCCAGAUGAUGAUUUUCUUUAAUUGACUAUUAUGUUGAUUGGUUUUUAUAGAAGUUACAAAUUAUAGAAUAUAAUAAAUUGUCUCUUAUUCUGAAU